AGAGCGAACGCUGGCGGCAGGCCUAACACAUGCAAGUCGAACGGAUCCUUCGGGAUUAGUGGCGGACGGGUGAGUAACGCGUGGGAACAUACCUUUUGGUUCGGAACAACACAGGGAAACUUGUGCUAAUACCGGAUAAGCCCUUACGGGGAAAGAUUUAUCGCCGAAAGAUUGGCCCGCGUCUGAUUAGCUAGUUGGUGAGGUAACGGCUCACCAAGGCGACGAUCAGUAGCU
rnacentral:rRNA from 1 species